UACGUAGGGCGCAAGCGUUAUCCGGAAUUAUUGGGCGUAAAGAGCUCGUAGGCGGCUUGUUGCGUCGGUUGUGAAAGCCUGGGGCUUAACCCCGGGUCUGCAGUCGAUACGGGCAGGCUAGAGUGUGGUAGGGGAGAUCGGAAUUCCUGGUGUAGCGGUGAAAUGCGCAGAUAUCAGGAGGAACACCGGUGGCGAAGGCGGAUCUCUGGGCCAUUACUGACGCUGAGGAGCGAAAGCGUGGGGAGCGAACAGG
rnacentral:rRNA from 1 species